UACAGAGGGUGCGAGCGUUGUCCGGAAUCACUGGGCGUAAAGGGUGCGUAGGCGGGUCUUUAAGUCAGGGGUGAAAUCCUGGAGCUCAACUCCAGAACUGCCUUUGAUACUGAGAAGCUUGAGUCCGGGAGAGGUGAGUGGAACUGCGAGUGUAGAGGUGAAAUUCGUAGAUAUUCGCAAGAACACCAGUGGCGAAGGCGGCUCACUGGCCCGGUACUGACGCUGAGGUGCGAAAGCGUGGGGAGCAAACAGG
rnacentral:rRNA from 1 species